rnacentral:rRNA from 1 species
CCUACGGGAGGCAGCAGUGGGGAAUUUUGGACAAUGGGCGCAAGCCUGAUCCAGCAAUGCCGCGUGAGUGAAGAAGGCCUUCGGGUUGUAAAGCUCUUUUGUCAGGGAAGAAACGGUGGGAGCUAAUAUCUCCCGCUAAUGACGGUACCUGAAGAAUAAGCACCGGCUAACUACGUGCCAGCAGCCGCGGUAAUACGUAGGGUGCAAGCGUUAAUCGGAAUUACUGGGCGUAAAGCGUGCGCAGGCGGUUUUGUAAGUCUGUCGUGAAAGCCCCGGGCUCAACCUGGGAAUUGCGAUGGAGACUGCAAGGCUUGAAUCUGGCAGAGGGGGGUAGAAUUCCACGUGUAGCAGUGAAAUGCGUAGAGAUGUGGAGGAACACCGAUGGCGAAGGCAGCCCCCUGGGUCAAGAUUGACGCUCAUGCACGAAAGCGUGGGGAGCAAACAGGAUUAGAUACCCUGGUAGUCCACGCCCUAAACGAUGUCUACUAGUUGUCGGGUUUUAAUAACUUGGUAACGCAGCUAACGCGUGAAGUAGACCGCCUGGGGAUACGGUCGCAAGNUUAAAACUCAAAUGAAUUGACGGCUGAGACCGAGCGAGACGACGACGAGGGAGGAGG